rnacentral:rRNA from 1 species
GAAUAUUGGGCAAUGGGCGGAAGCCUGACCCAGCAACGCCGCGUGAAGGAAGAAGGCCCUCGGGUUGUAAACUUCUUUUCUAUAGGACGAAGAAGUGACGGUACUAUAGGAAUAAGCCACGGCUAACUACGUGCCAGCAGCCGCGGUAAUACGUAGGGGGCGAGCGUUAUCCGGAUUUACUGGGUGUAAAGGGUGCGUAGGCGGCAUAAUAAGUUAGAAGUGAAAUACCCAGAGCUUAACUCGGGUGCUGCUUCUAAGACUGUUGAGCUUGAGUGCGGGAGAGGUUAAUGGAAUUCCUAGUGUAGCGGUGGAAUGCGUAGAUAUUAGGAGGAACACCAGAGGCGAAGGCGAUUAACUGGACCGUAACUGACGCUGAGGCACGAAAGUGUGGGUAGCAAACAG